ensembl:ncRNA asRNA:CR45142 antisense RNA:CR45142
UACCAAAUAAACUUAAUAGUUUUAUUUAACCAGCUCUGUUAUCUAUAACGUGUAAUCUUUGAAAGUUUUCCUAGACUUAAAAUUUUUCAUUAAAAUGCAAUGCAACAAAGUGCAAAGAGCAAGUGCAAGGCUAGCUAUUAACUUAAACAAUUCAUACUGGACUGGUCGUGAAGAAGUGAUGAAAAAAUGAUGGGGCCAGCAGGCCUUAAAACUUAACAGCAAGGCCAUUGUCGAAAGAAGAUCAUUCCUUUCCAACAACAAGGCUUAUAGGACGGAGCUGGAAACACUCUCGAUGACCUCAAACGCAUUGUCUAUUUCCGAACUCUCCAGCAAACGGUUGACAGCAAUGCGAAUGCUGGGACGGACUGGUUGGCGUUCCCUGUUCUGCAGGUAGGCAGCCUGUACCACAGCCACUCCACGAGCAAUGCACUGGGAAAACCAGCUCUGUUAGAAGUUUCAGUUCCUUGUCAAAGUUCUCGGCGGGCUGGGCAAGAUACAAGUGCUUCACUGGUGACACCUCAUCGCCGCGCAGGGUUAGCUUGCUGAAUCGCAAAAACUUCUGGUGCAACGUCUUAGACUUUGCCUGCAGCUGCUCGAAGAUUUGUGGUUCUCGUUCGAAACGAUCCAACGCUGAAAUAGCCGCCUGGGUGAGCAUGGGCGGCAGCGAGGCCGAGAAGAUGUAGCCCAAGCCAGAGAGGCGCUGGUGCUCGGCUAUGAAGUGCGAGCCAACACAGAAGCCACCGACUGUUGCCAUCGAACCCUCCAUGCCGGCCGAUAUCAGAUCGACUUCAUCACGCUAAAAGAAAAAUACCAGUUAUAAUUUUAGUUUUUCUUUCCGGUUUACCACCUACAUCGACAUUAAAGUGCUCCGUAACUCCGUGACCACCCUGGCCCAAUGUGCCAAAGGAGAUGCUUUCGUCGAUGAACAAACGCAGCUUGUACUUCUGACGCAAGGCCACCAGGUCGGGAAGUGGGCAAAUCUCGCCCGUAUUCAUAUAGAUACCCUCGGCGACGAGGAAGCGACGUGUCUUAGCCGCCUUUUUCGGAUUUUUCUGGUCUCGUUUUUCUUGCUCAAUCAGCAGACGUUCUAGAUCCUCAACGUCAUUGUGCUUAAAGAAAACGAUUGUGCUUCGUGAAGCAUCCAGACCCUUCUGAAUGGCAAAGUUGACAGCCUCAUCCCUACAAAUAACAAGUAAUUAGUCGCCAAUCUGAGUAGGUGAAGUAGACAAUCCUACACAAAGAUAAGGUCGCCACGUUUGGCAUACGCCGGAAUGGCACUGGCCACGGUCGAGAAGCCGUAGGAAUAGACAAUGGCCUCCUCCAGGCCCAUGAACUUGGCAAUACGAUCCUCCAGGUCCAGAUGCACGUCCAUAGUGCCGUAGAAGCCCCGAGGUCCGCAAGAUCCAACUCCGUACUUGCGCAGCGACUUGCAGGCCUCCUCCAGUAUCUCCUGGUCCUCGAGGAAGCCAAGAUAGUUGUGAGAGCCAAGAUUUAGGCAGUCGUGUCCAUCGACCUGGAUGCGCUUGCCCACCCUGGACUGCACAACGCGGGUGUGCAGCAGGGGAUGAUUGGGAUCGGUGUCGGCCACCAAGGGCUCUGGUUCAUAGUCGGCGAUUAUUCGGUCUUCCUCCUCCUUGGUCAGCUGUCGGCGACGACCUCCUCCUCGUCUGUGGAGCAGCAACCAAAUCACGGUUAUGAGCAGUAGGGUCUCCAAGACGAGAGCAAACGUGGGGGUCUGUGGAAGGAGUAGAAACUGGAGUAAGCUAAAUGUGGUGAAAAAGGCGAAUGCAAACUUACGUUUCGGAAAAUACUGCCGAUUUCGUUGAACAAUUGGAUGGCCACCAUUUUGACAGUCUGGUUCCGUGCCCUUUCUGUGAAAAAUCAAUUGAAACCGCCUUAAUUCCCUGAAGUUAUGUGUCAUCUAGCCGACGCUUUCUUAUCGCGGGUAUGCCCCAUACAUAUGUAGAAUUGAAGCAUUCGACCAUACGGUACGGAAAUCUUUUCAAUUGGGUGUGUAUGCUGACAUAGGCUAAUUGCCAGUGGGCGAAAAAUGUGCAACCACGCCCUUCUCCAACAUUCUCUUACAUUAAAUAUCCAUUUAAAUCGAGCACUCACCACAAAACUCAGUUAACUAUAGGCAAAAUGCGUGAAAUAUCCGCCGAAACAGAUGGAUGAACGAAUGUACU